AUUGAACGCUGGCGGCAGGCCUAACACAUGCAAGUCGAACGAGUGGCGGACGGGUGAGUAAUGUCUGGGAAUCUACCUUAUGGAGGGGGAUAACUACUGGAAACUGUAGCUAAUACCGCCUACCAUCGGAUGUGCCCAGGUGGGAUUAGCUAGUUGGUGGGGUAAAGGCUCACCAAGGCGACGAUCCCUAGCUGGUCUGAGAGGAUGACCAGCCACACUGGGACUGAGCCACGGCCCAGACUCCUACGGGAGGCAGCAGUGGGGAAUAUUGCGCAAUGGGGGCAAGCCUGACGCAGCCAUGCCGCGUGUAUGAAGAAGGCCUUCGGGUUGUAAAGUUCUUUCGGUAGGGAGGCGUUACCCACAGAAGAAGCACCGGCUAACUCCGUGCCAGCAGCCGCGGUAAUAC
rnacentral:rRNA from 1 species